UGGGGAAUAUUGCACAAUGGGGGAAACCCUGAUGCAGCGACGCCGCGUGAGCGAAGAAGGUUUUCGAAUCGUAAAGCUCUGUCCUAUGGGAAGAUAAUGACGGUACCAUAGGAGGAAGCCACGGCUAACUACGUGCCAGCAGCCGCGGUAAUACGUAGGUGGCAAGCGUUGUCCGGAAUUAUUGGGCGUAAAGCGCGCGCAGGCGGCUACUUAAGUCCAUCUUAAAAGUGCGGGGCUUAACCCCGUGAUGGGAUGGAAACUGAGAAGCUGGAGUGUCGGAGAGGAAAGUGGAAUUCCUAGUGUAGCGGUGAAAUGCGUAGAGAUUAGGAAGAACACCGGUGGCGAAGGCGACUUUCUGGACGACAACUGACGCUUAGGCGCGAAAGCGUGGGGAGCAAACAGG
rnacentral:rRNA from 1 species